GGAGGAAAGUAGGGGAUCGAAAGACCUUAUGCUUUUGGAGCGGCCGAUGUCUGAUUAGCUAGUUGGUGAGGUAAAGGCUUACCAAGGCGACGAUCAGUAGUUGGUCUGAGAGGACGACCAGCCACACUGGGACUGAGCCACGGCCCAGACUCCUACGGGAGGCAGCAGUGGGGAAUUUUGGACAAUGGGCGCAAGCCUGAUCCAGCAAUGCCGUGUGAGUGAAGAAGGCCUUCGGGUUGUAAAGCUCUUUCAGUCGAGAAGAAAAGGUUGUGAUUAAUACUCACAGUCCAUGACGGUAUCGACAGAAGAAGCACCGGCUAACUACGUGCCAGCAGCCGCGGUAAUACGUAGGGUGCGAGCGUUAAUCGGAAUUACUGGGCGUAAAGGGUGCGCAGGCGGCUCUGUAAGUCAGAUGUGAAAUCCCCGGGCUUAACCUGGGAAUUGCGUUUGAAACUACAAGGCUAG
rnacentral:rRNA from 1 species